UAAAAACCCCGACUUCGGAAGGGGUGUAUUUAUUAGAUACAAAGCCAAUGCCCUUCGGGGCUCUUUGGUGAUUCAUGAUAACUAUACGAAUCGCACGGCCUUGCGCCGGCGAUGGUUCAUUCAAAUUUCUUCCCUAUCAACUUUCGAUGUUUGGGUAUUGGCCAAACAUGGUUGCAACGGGUAACGGAGGGUUAGGGCUCGACCCCGGAGAAGGAGCCUGAGAAACGGCUACUACAUCCAAGGAGGGCAGCAGGCGCGCAAAUUACCCAAUCCCGACUCGGGGAGGUAGUGACAAUAAAUACUGAUACAGGGCCCUUUCGGGCCUUGUAAUUGGAAUGAGUACAAUUUAAAUCCCUUAACGAGGAACAAUUGGAGGGCAAGUCUGGUGCCAGCAGCCGCGGUAAUUCCAGCUCCAAUAGCGUAUAUUAAAGUUGUUGUGGUUAAAAAGCUCGUAGUUGAACCUUGGGCCUGGCUGGCCGGUCCGCCUCACCGCGUGCACUGGUCCGGCCGGGCCUUUCCCUCUGUGGAACCCCAUACCCUUCACUGGGCGUGGCGGGGAAACAGGACAUUUACUUU
rnacentral:rRNA from 1 species